rnacentral:rRNA from 1 species
CCUACGGGCGGCAGCAGUGGGGGAUAUUGCACAAUGGGGGGAACCCUGAUGCAGCGACGCCGCGUGUGGGAAGACGGUCCUCUGGAUUGUAAACCACUGUCCCCAGGGACGAAAAUGACGGUACCUGGGGAGGAAGCUCCGGCUAACUACGUGCCAGCAGCCGCGGUAAUACGUAGGGAGCGAGCGUUGUCCGGAAUUACUGGGUGUAAAGGGAGCGUAGGCGGGGAUGCAAGUUGGGUGUCAAAACUACCGGCUCAACUGGUAGUCGCACUCAAAACUGCAGCUCUUGAGUGAAGUAGAGGCAGGCGGAAUGCCUGGUGUAGCGGUGAAAUGCGUAGAUAUUAGGAGGAACACCAGUGGUGAAGGCGGCCUGCUGGGCUUUUACUGACGCUGAGGCUCGAAAGUGUGGGGAGCAAACAGGAUUAGAUACCCUUGUAGUC